rnacentral:rRNA from 1 species
AGAGUUUGAUCAUGGCUCAGAUUGAACGCUGGCGGCAGGCCUAACACAUGCAAGUCGAGCGGUAGAGAGAAGCUUGCUUCUCUUGAGAGCGGCGGACGGGUGAGUAAUGCCUAGGAAUCUGCCUGGUAGUGGGGGAUACGCUCGGAACGGACGCUAAUACCGCAUACGUCCUACGGGAGAAAGCAGGGGACCUUCGGCCUUGCGCUAUCAGACGAGCCUAGGUCGGAUUAGCUAGUUGGUGAGGUAAUGGCUCACCAAGGCGACGAUCCGUAACUGGUCUGAGAGGAUGAUCAGUCACACUGGAACUGAGACACGGUCCAGACUCCUACGGGAGGCAGCAGUGGGGAAUAUUGGACAAUGGGCGAAAGCCUGAUCCAGCCAUGCCGCGUGUGUGAAGAAGGUCUUCGGAUUGUAAAGCACUUUAAGUUGGGAGGAAGGGCAGUAACCUAAUACGUUGCGGUCUUGACGUUACCGACAGAAUAAGCACCGGCUAACUCUGUGCCAGCAGCCGCGGUAAUACAGAGGGUGCAAGCGUUAAUCGGAAUUACUGGGCGUAAAGCGCGCGUAGGUGGUUUGUUAAGUUGGAUGUGAAAUCCCCGGGCUCAACCUGGGAACUGCAUUCAAAACUGACAAGCUAGAGUAUGGUAGAGGGUGGUGGAAUUUCCUGUAGCGGUGAAAUGCGUAGAUAUAGGAAGGAACACCAGUGGCGAAGGCGACCACCUGGACUGAUACUGACACUGAGGUGCGAAAGCGUGGGGAGCAAACAGGAUUAGAUACCCCAGUAGUCC